UGCCUAACACAUGCAAGUCGUACGAAAUUUUUAAAUUUAAAUUUAGUGGCGGACGGGUGAGUAACACGUGAGAAUUUACCUUUAGGAGGGGGAUAACAAUUGGAAACAAAUGCUAAAACCCCAUAUUGCUUCUAAGCGAAGUGAAAGAGAAGAGAUAUAAAUGUAUCGACACCUUAGACGUGGCUAAUUCUGCCUAAAGAGAAGCUCGCGGCUGAUUAGCUUGUUGGUAAGGUAAAAGCUUACCAAGGCGACGAUCAGUAUCUGGUUUGAGAGGACGAUCAGACACACUGGAACUGAGACACGGUCCAGACUCCUACGGGAGGCAGCAGUGGGGAAUUUUCCGCAAUGGGCGAAAGCCUGACGGAGCAAUACCGCGUGAGGGAAGACUGCCUAUGGGUUGUAAACCUCUUUUUUCAGG
rnacentral:rRNA from 1 species